rnacentral:misc_RNA from 1 species
GAUGAAGAACGCAGCGAAAUGCGAUACGUAAUGUGAAUUGCAGAUUUCAGUGAAUCAUCGAAUCUUUGAACGCACAUUGCGCCCGCUAGUAUUCUGGCGGGCAUGCCUGUUCGAGCGUCAUUUCAACCAUCAAGCCCUAGGCUUGCGUUGGAGCCCUGCGGCUGCCGCAGGCUCCCAAAUCCAGUGGCGGGCUCGUCGUCGUACCGAGUGCACUAAACAUCCUCGCUCAGGGAACGUGACGGGUUCUUGCCGUGAAACCCCCCACAUAUCAAGGUUGACCUCGGAUCAGGUAGGAAUACCCGCUGAACUUAAGCAUAUCAAUAAGCGGAGGA